CGACCGGGAGACGAGGGUGGGUCAUGGAUAUCGUAUUCAGUGCUCCAUCGUUGUCCAACCAAUCCUCGUCCCUGCAAAUACAAACAUGUUUUCAAUCUUAAAACCCUGAGCAUUACGGUUGGCUUAAAGCAACAAGAUGUUUUAAUAUGA